rnacentral:piRNA from 2 species
UAGGUUGCUAAGCUAUUCCUGUGC